rnacentral:rRNA from 1 species
UACGUAGGGCGCAAGCGUUAUCCGGAAUUAUUGGGCGUAAAGAGCUCGUAGGCGGUUUGUCGCGUCUGCCGUGAAAAGUCCGGGGGCUCAACUCCGGAUCUGCGGUGGGUACGGGGCAGACUAGAGUGAUGUAGGGGAGACUGGAAUUCCUGGUGUAGCGGUGAAAUGCGCAGAUAUCAGGAGGAACACCGAUGGCGAAGGCAGGUCUCUGGGCAUUAACUGACGCUGAGGAGCGAAAAGCAUGGGGAGCGAACAGG